rnacentral:rRNA from 1 species
UACAGAGGGUGCAAGCGUUAAUCGGAAUUACUGGGCGUAAAGCGCGCGUAGGCGGUUUGUUAAGUCGGAUGUGAAAUCCCCGGGCUCAACCUGGGCACGGCAUCCGAUACUGGCUGACUAGAGUGUGGGAGAGGAAGGUAGAAUUCCAGGUGUAGCGGUGAAAUGCGUAGAGAUCUGGAGGAAUACCGAUGGCGAAGGCAGCCUUCUGGCCUAACACUGACGCUGAGGUGCGAAAGCAUGGGGAGCAAACAGG